UGCAGAAUCCCGUGAACCAUCGAGUCUUUGAACGCAAGUUGCGCCCCAAGCCAUUAGGCCGAGGGCACGCCUGCCUGGGUGUC
rnacentral:rRNA from 1 species